UCCAUUUCGUCCUUAUUUUAAUUUUGUUCUCUCUCCAAUCGUGACUCCGUCUUUGCCCAUGUAAACCGCUGUCUAGACUUGGGACGACUUAGAAUUUCCUCGGCAUUUCCAAUGGCAUUAUCAUCAACUUGUGUUGUGUAUGACAACCAUUUGCCUCAACAUUCUUAGCAUCCAACGAAGCCACUUCAUUUCUGCAGCUAACAACAACAUGUCUUCGCCAUUGCAGUACUACCGAUCUUUGCCGCCGGUGGCCAAGACCUAUACCGUGGUCUGUCUAAUGACCACAGUCGCUUUUCAUAUGGAACUCUACAAAGUCUCCAACAUAGCACUUUAUUAUUCAGAUGUUUUCAAAAGGUUCCAGGUGUGGAGGCUUAUCACAAACUUCUUUUUCCUUGGAGGAUUUUCCUUGCCGUUUGGAUUUCGUAUCCUUACAAUACUAUACUACGGAGUUUCAUUGGAGAGGGGGGCUUUUGACAAGAGGACUGCAGACUACGUGUGGAUGUUCGUAUUUGGAGCAAUCUCACUGCUGGUGAUGGCAGCGAUUCCAUUGCUGUGGUCUCCGUUUAAGGGACCAGCCAUGGUUUUCAUGAUUGUCUACGUCUGGAGCAGGGAAAACCCAAAUGCCCGGGUCAACAUACAAGGACUCGUGGAAAUUAAGGGAUUCUAUCUUCCGUGGGUGAUGCUGGGCAUAGACACCAUCCUUGGAAAUCCGUGGAUGCCUGGCAUUCAGGGAAUAGCUGCGGGCCAUAUUUAUUACUUCUGCACGGUGCUUUAUCCUCUGUCUACUGGAAAGAACUACUUCAAGACUCCCCUCUGGGUUCACAAGCUAGUUGCAUUUUGGGGUGAGGGAUACCAAAUGAAUGCUCCAGUCAGGCAAGACCCUGAUGCCGGAGUUGCGUUUCGCGGCAGGAGCUACAGGCUCGGAGGGCCUAGUCGCGGCUCAGCACGGCCACCAGGCAGCAGCAGCAGCACUUCCUCAGCACAGGAGGGACCAAACGGCCCAGCGCAGCCCACUGGUAGUACAGCCGACGGAGUGGCAUUUCGUGGCAGAAGCCACCGGUUGGGUGCCAGAUAACCCCAUAUAUGGUAAUCAAAGGAUAUUAAGAGCAGCAUGUUUUGCCGUGCCUGCGAGAGAGAGACAGUUGCUGCAGCUUAUCUUGGGGAUUGGUAGCUUAUUAUUUUUGGGCCUAAUCGAUUCUGGCGGACAAUCUUGCAGCUGUUUUAGUCAUGGGGAAGAAUCAAGAUGCCAUAAACCCAUAAACAAGACUUCCUUUAGAGCUCUAAAUGUGACAUUUUCACAUCCAUAUAAUGCAAAAUGUAGGCUAAUUGUUGUGUUGUUCUGAAAAGGUUGAAAAGGGAGUGCCAAAAUUUUUUUUUUUCAGGGUUUAAAAUUGAAGAGGAGCAUUAUCUGCACGAUACGCAGCAGCAGAAAGAAGAAUAAGAAAAAGAACAAAGAUCAAGAAAUGGACGCAUAAUCUAGGCGACCAAGUCUUGGUCCCUUAAACUUUACGAGAAAGGCUAGAAUGGGCCCAGACCAGCCGAAGACCAAAUCAACCUAAUUAAAUUCAGAAGCCCUUGAAAAAGGAAGUAUCCCAAGUCAAUCUUAAUAAACUCGCUUUUGACGGUUGACCAGCUGUUCUGCAUGCUAGGCAGGGGGCCCAUUUCUAUCAGCCUCAUCUAUCUUCAAACUUCAAAGUCGUUUGUUUGAAAAAAAAAAAAAAAAAUUUCUAACUUCAAAGGGGGAGUCACGAGCUAGCACUGGACCAAGGACACUGAGUUGUCAAUGAAAACCGUUCUGAACGAUGUAAUAUUUUUUGAACAAGAUGUAAUUUUAUGUAAAUUAUUUAUAAAACUCAUCAAUAAAGACAUAA